CGCGCAGGCUGUAGAUCAAGUCAGCUGUGAAAUGUCUGGGCUUAACCCGGGCAUGCGGUUGAAACUGAUGUACUGGAGUGCUGUAGAGGCAAGUGGAAUUCCCAGUGUAGCGGUGAAAUGCGUAGAUAUUGGGAAGAACACCGGUGGCGAAGGCGACUUGCUGGGCAGCAACUGACGCUGAGGCGCGAAAGCCAGGGGAGCAAACGG
rnacentral:rRNA from 1 species